GGUUAAGCGACUAAGCGUACACGGUGGAUGCCCUGGCAGUCAGAGGCGAUGAAGGGCGUGCUAAUCUGCGAUAAGCGCCGGUAAGGUGAUAUGAACCGUUAUAACCGGCGAUACCCGAAUGGGGAAACCCAGUGUGAUUCGUCACACUAUCAUUAACUGAAUCCAUAGGUUAAUGAGGCGAACCGGGGGAACUGAAACAUCUAAGUACCCCGAGGAAAAGAAAUCAACCGAGAUUCCCCCAGUAGCGGCGAGCGAACGGGGAGGAGCCCAGAGCCUGAAUCAGCAUGUGUGUUAGUGGAAGCGUCUGGAAAGGCGCGCGAUACAGGGUGACAGCCCCGUACACAAAAGCGCAUGUGCUGUGAGCUCGAUGAGUAGGGCGGGACACGUGGUAUCCUGUCUGAAUAUGGGGGGACCAUCCUCCAAGGCUAAAUACUCCUGACUGACCGAUAGUGAACCAGUACCGUGAGGGAAAGGCGAAAAGAACCCCGGCGAGGGGAGUGAAAAAGAACCUGAAACCGUGUACGUACAAGCAGUGGGAGCCCCACCACCAAAGCAUUCUCUGGUGUUGAAGGCCCUGCAAAGCAGCAUCGCGGUGGCGGAGCGUCGUUUGCGACGCCCAACACACAAAACAAGCGGUGAAUGCUUUGGGGUGGGGUGACUGCGUACCUUUUGUAUAAUGGGUCAGCGACUUAUAUUCUGUAGCAAGGUUAACCGAAUAGGGGAGCCGGAGGGAAACCGAGUCUUAAUUGGGCGUUAAGUUGCAGGGUAUAGACCCGAAACCCGGUGAUCUAGCCAUGGGCAGGUUGAAGGUUGGGUAACACUAACUGGAGGACCGAACCGACUAAUGUUGAAAAAUUAGCGGAUGACCUGUGGCUGGGGGUGAAAGGCCAAUCAAACCGGGAGAUAGCUGGUUCUCCCCGAAAGCUAUUUAGGUAGCGCCUCGUGAAUUCAUCUCCGGGGGUAGAGCACUGUUUCGGCUAGGGGGCCAUCCCGGCUUACCAACCCGAUGCAAACUGCGAAUACCGGAGAAUGUUAUCACGGGAGACACACGGCGGGUGCUAACGUCCGUCGUGAAGAGGGAAACAACCCAGACCGCCAGCUAAGGUCCCAAAGUCAUGGUUAAGUGGGAAACGAUGUGGGAAGGCCCAGACAGCCAGGAUGUUGGCUUAGAAGCAGCCAUCAUUUAAAGAAAGCGUAAUAGCUCACUGGUCGAGUCGGCCUGCGCGGAAGAUGUAACGGGGCUAAACCAUGCACCGAAGCUGCGGCAGCGACGCUGAUGCGUUGUUGGGUAGGGGAGCGUUCUGUAAGCCUGUGAAGGUGUGUCGUGAGGCAUGCUGGAGGUAUCAGAAGUGCGAAUGCUGACAUAAGUAACGAUAAAGCGGGUGAAAAGCCCGCUCGCCGGAAGACCAAGGGUUCCUGUCCAACGUUAAUCGGGGCAGGGUGAGUCGACCCCUAAGGCGAGGCCGAAAGGCGUAGUCGAUGGGAAACGGGUUAAUAUUCCCGUACUUGGUGUUACUGCGAAGGGGGGACGGAGAAGGCUAUGUUGGCCGGGCGACGGUUGUCCCGGUUUAAGCGUGUAGGUGUGUGUUCCAGGUAAAUCCGGUUCACUUUAACACUGAGGCGUGACGACGAGGCACUACGGUGCUGAAGCAACAAAUGCCCUGCUUCCAGGAAAAGCCUCUAAGCAUCAGGUAACACGAAAUCGUACCCCAAACCGACACAGGUGGUCAGGUAGAGAAUACCAAGGCGCUUGAGAGAACUCGGGUGAAGGAACUAGGCAAAAUGGUGCCGUAACUUCGGGAGAAGGCACGCUGACACGUAGGUGAAGUGAUUUACUCAUGGAGCUGAAGUCAGUCGAAGAUACCAGCUGGCUGCAACUGUUUAUUAAAAACACAGCACUGUGCAAACACGAAAGUGGACGUAUACGGUGUGACGCCUGCCCGGUGCCGGAAGGUUAAUUGAUGGGGUCAGCGCAAGCGAAGCUCCUGAUCGAAGCCCCGGUAAACGGCGGCCGUAACUAUAACGGUCCUAAGGUAGCGAAAUUCCUUGUCGGGUAAGUUCCGACCUGCACGAAUGGCGUAAUGAUGGCCAGGCUGUCUCCACCCGAGACUCAGUGAAAUUGAACUCGCUGUGAAGAUGCAGUGUACCCGCGGCAAGACGGAAAGACCCCGUGAACCUUUACUAUAGCUUGACACUGAACAUUGAGCCUUGAUGUGUAGGAUAGGUGGGAGGCUUUGAAGUGUGGACGCCAGUCUGCAUGGAGCCGACCUUGAAAUACCACCCUUUAAUGUUUGAUGUUCUAACGUGGACCCGUAAUCCGGGUUGCGGACAGUGUCUGGUGGGUAGUUUGACUGGGGCGGUCUCCUCCUAAAGAGUAACGGAGGAGCACGAAGGUUGGCUAAUCCUGGUCGGACAUCAGGAGGUUAGUGCAAUGGCAUAAGCCAGCUUGACUGCGAGCGUGACGGCGCGAGCAGGUGCGAAAGCAGGUCAUAGUGAUCCGGUGGUUCUGAAUGGAAGGGCCAUCGCUCAACGGAUAAAAGGUACUCCGGGGAUAACAGGCUGAUACCGCCCAAGAGUUCAUAUCGACGGCGGUGUUUGGCACCUCGAUGUCGGCUCAUCACAUCCUGGGGCUGAAGUAGGUCCCAAGGGUAUGGCUGUUCGCCAUUUAAAGUGGUACGCGAGCUGGGUUUAGAACGUCGUGAGACAGUUCGGUCCCUAUCUGCCGUGGGCGCUGGAGAACUGAGGGGGGCUGCUCCUAGUACGAGAGGACCGGAGUGGACGCAUCACUGGUGUUCGGGUUGUCAUGCCAAUGGCACUGCCCGGUAGCUAAAUGCGGAAGAGAUAAGUGCUGAAAGCAUCUAAGCACGAAACUUGCCCCGAGAUGAGUUCUCCCUGAGACUUAGAGUCUCCUGAAGGAACGUUGAAGACGACGACGUUGAUAGGCCGGGUGUGUAAGCGCAGCGAUGCGUUGAGCUAACCGGUACUAAUGAACCGUGAGGCUUAACCUU
rnacentral:rRNA from 3 species